GACGUAGGUGGCGAACGUUAUCCGGAAUCAUUGGGCGUAAAGGGUGCGUAGAUGGCAUGAUAAGUUAUUAGUGGGAGAUCGAGGCUCAACCUCGUGGAAGCUAGUAAUACUGUUUUGCUUGAGUACAGAAGAGGUUAACGGAACUCCAUGUGGAGCGGUAAAAUGCGUAGAUAUAUGGAAGAACACCAAUAACGGCGAAGGCAGUUAACUAUUCUGUUACUGACAUUGAGGCACGAAAGCGUGGGGAGCAAAACGG
rnacentral:rRNA from 1 species